GACGAGCGCUGGCGGCGUGCCUAAUACAUGCAAGUUGAGCGAUGAAGAUUGGUGCUUGCACCAAUUUGAAGAGCAGCGAACGGGUGAGUAACGCGUGGGGAAUCUGCCUUUGAGCGGGGGACAACAUUUGGAAACGAAUGCUAAUACCGCAUAACAACUUUAAACAUAAGUUUUAAGUUUGAAAGAUGCAAUUGCAUCACUCAAAGAUGAUCCCGCGUUGUAUUAGCUAGUUGGUGAGGUAAAGGCUUACCAAGGCGAUGAUACAUAGCCGACCUGAGAGGGUGAUCGGCCACAUUGGGACUGAGACACGGCCCAAACUCCUACGGGAGGCAGCAGUAGGGAAUCUUCGGCAAUGGACGAAAGUCUGACCGAGCAACGCCGCGUGAGUGAAGAAGGGUUUCGGAUCGUAAAACUCUGUUGGUAGAGAAGAACGUUGGUGAGAGUGGAAAGCUCAUCAAGUGACGGUAACUACCCAGAAAGGGACGGCUAACUACGUG
rnacentral:rRNA from 1 species